rnacentral:tRNA from 1 species
UCUCUGGUAGUAUAUCGGUUAGUACACGCGCCUGUCAUCCAAUACCUUUGUAGGAAAUGACUUUUCGCGCGAAAGCUGGGUUCGACUCCCAGCCAGAGAG